rnacentral:lncRNA from 1 species
CCAGUCAAAACUGUUCGCUGCUCUGGCACCCCAAUGGUGGAACAAGCUCCCUCACGACGCUAGGACAGCGGAGUCAAUCACCACCUUCCGGAGACACCUGAAACCCCACCUCUUUAAGGAAUACCUGGGAUAGGAUAAAGUAAUCCCCCCCCCCAAAAAAAGAUAUAGAUGUACUAUUGUAAAGUGGUUGUCCACUGGAUAUCAUAAGGUGAAUGCACCAAUUUGUAAGUCGCUCUGGAUAAGAGCGUCUGCUAAAUGACAUAAAUGUAAAAAUGUAAAUGUAGUGUAUGUUAGUCACACCAAUGUAGGCUUAGUCUAUGUUCAUCAAUGAAAAUCAAAUAAUUGGCCUACUGUAGCCCACGAAAAAUAUUAGCUUUCAACAUGUUCAAUAUUCACAUUUGGGUAUGUUUCCAUAUUUUUGGAUUGCACUGUUAAAGUUAUCUGUAAACAUGAAUGUGUUGAAGGAAAGUUUAGUCUUAAAGUGGUAUGACGAAAUAUCAACUUGCGCUCAUACAGAGAGAAAAUCAUAUUGUGCAUAUGCACUGAUUACACAACAGCUAGUAAAAUGCAUCUCAGAGGCAUACUCAUGUAAAGCUUUAAUAACAAACAUGUUCUUCAUCACGCGACCCUUGAAUAUUCAAAGUCGAGAACCUAAAAGCGUCGAGGAGGGAAAUACAUCUCUAUAUUUUAAAAGGUUUUGGCGAUAUAUUAUUAGCCUAGCUGUCUCUACGCUGAAAAAUCCAGUUCGGUUUUUCCGCGAAGCUCCAAAAAUCUAUGAAAUGUGUUUGCAUGUUCUUCUCCGCGAGCGGGGAUGUAGAGGUGGGAUUGCGAGAAUCGAAAGGUUGGAGAGCCCGCACGCUCAGCUUCCGAGAAAUUUGUAGGUUGACAGUGGAAGGAUGUGGAUGAGGGCUGAAGUUUAGACAGAGCA